GGCCGGGAACUCAAAGGAGACUGCCAGUGAUAAACUGGAGGAAGGUGGGGAUGACGUCAAGUCAUCAUGGCCCUUACGACCAGGGCUACACACGUGCUACAAUGGCAUAUACAAAGAGAAGCGACCUCGCGAGAGCAAGCGGACCUCAUAAAGUAUGUCGUAGUCCGGAUUGGAGUCUGCAACUCGACUCCAUGAAGUCGGAAUCGCUAGUAAUCGUAGAUCAGAAUGCUACGGUGAAUACGUUCCCGGGCCUUGUACACACCGCCCGUCACACCAUGGGAGUGGGUUGCAAAAGAAGUAGGUAGCUUAACCUUCGGGAGGGCGCUUACCACUUUG
rnacentral:rRNA from 1 species